rnacentral:rRNA from 1 species
CCUACGGGGUGCAGCAGUGGGGAAUAUUGCACAAUGGGGGAAACCCUGAUGCAGCGACGCCGCGUGAGUGAAGAAGUAAUUCGUUACGUAAAGCUCUAUCAGCAGGGAAGAAACACUGACCUUACGGUCAGCAGACGGUACCUGAGUAAGAAGCCCCGGCUAACUACGUGCCAGCAGCCGCGGCAAUACGUAGGGGGCAAGCGUUAUCCGGGUUUACUGGGUGUAAAGGGAGCGUAGACGGUGCGCCAAGUCUGGAGUGAAAGGCCGCGGAUUAACUGCGGAACUGCUUUGGAAACUGGCGAACAAGAGUGCGGGAGGGGUAAGCGGAAUUCCUAGUGUAGCGGUGAAAUGCGUAGAUAUUAGGAGGAACACCGGUGGCGAAGGCGGCUUACUGGACAGUAACUGACGUUGAGGCUCGAAAGCGUGGGGAGCAAACAGGAUUAGAUACCCGAGUAGUC